GAAACCGUGUACGUACAAGCAGUGGGAGCACAGAGCAAUCUGUGUGACUGCGUACCUUUUGUAUAAUGGGUCAGCGACUUAUAUUCUGUAGCAAGGUUAACCGAAUAGGGGAGCCGAAGGGAAACCGAGUCUUAACUGGGCGUUAAGUUGCAGGGUAUAGACCCGAAACCCGGUGAUCUAGCCAUGGGCAGGUUGAAGGUUGGGUAACACUAACUGGAGGACCGAACCGACUAAUGUUGAAAAAUUAGCGGAUGACUUGUGGCUGGGGGUGAAAGGCCAAUCAAACCGGGAGAUAGCUGGUUCUCCCCGAAAGCUAUUUAGGUAGCGCCUCGUGAAUUCAUCUCCGGGGGUAGAGCACUGUUUCGGCAAGGGGGUCAUCCCGACUUACCAACCCGAUGCAAACUGCGAAUACCGGAGAAUGUUAUCACGGGAGACACACGGCGGGUGCUAACGUCCGUCGUGAAGAGGGAAACAACCCAGACCGCCAGCUAAGGUCCCAAAGUCAUGGUUAAGUGGGAAACGAUGUGGGAAGGCCCAGACAGCCAGGAUGUUGGCUUAGAAGCAGCCAUCAUUUAAAGAAAGCGUAAUAGCUCACUGGUCGAGUCGGCCUGCGCGGAAGAUGUAACGGGGCUAAACCAUGCACCGAAGCUGCGGCAGCGACGCUUAUGCGUUGUUGGGUAGGGGAGCGUUCUGUAAGCCUGCGAAGGUGUGCUGUGAGGCAUGCUGGAGGUAUCAGAAGUGCGAAUGCUGACAUAAGUAACGAUAAAGCGGGUGAAAAGCCCGCUCGCCGGAAGACCAAGGGUUCCUGUCCAACGUUAAUCGGGGCAGGGUGAGUCGACCCCUAAGGCGAGGCCGAAAGGCGUAGUCGAUGGGAAACAGGUUAAUAUUCCUGUACUUGGUGUUACUGCGAAGGGGGGACGGAGAAGGCUAUGUUGGCCGGGCGACGGUUGUCCCGGUUUAAGCGUGUAGGCUGGUUUUCCAGGCAAAUCCGGAAAAUCAAGGCUGAGGCGUGAUGACGAGGCACUACGGUGCUGAAGCAACAAAUGCCCUGCUUCCAGGAAAAGCCUCUAAGCAUCAGGUAACAUCAAAUCGUACCCCAAACCGACACAGGUGGUCAGGUAGAGAAUACCAAGGCGCUUGAGAGAACUCGGGUGAAGGAACUAGGCAAAAUGGUGCCGUAACUUCGGGAGAAGGCACGCUGAUAUGUAGGUGAAGCGACUUGCUCGUGGAGCUGAAAUCAGUCGAAGAUACCAGCUGGCUGCAACUGUUUAUUAAAAACACAGCACUGUGCAAACACGAAAGUGGACGUAUACGGUGUGACGCCUGCCCGGUGCCGGAAGGUUAAUUGAUGGGGUCAGCGCAAGCGAAGCUCUUGAUCGAAGCCCCGGUAAACGGCGGCCGUAACUAUAACGGUCCUAAGGUAGCGAAAUUCCUUGUCGGGUAAGUUCCGACCUGCACGAAUGGCGUAAUGAUGGCCAGGCUGUCUCCACCCGAGACUCAGUGAAAUUGAACUCGCUGUGAAGAUGCAGUGUACCCGCGGCAAGACGGAAAGACCCCGUGAACCUUUACUAUAGCUUGACACUGAACAUUGAGCCUUGAUGUGUAGGAUAGGUGGGAGGCUUUGAAGUGUGGACGCCAGUCUGCAUGGAGCCGACCUUGAAAUACCACCCUUUAAUGUUUGAUGUUCUAACGUGGACCCGUAAUCCGGGUUGCGGACAGUGUCUGGUGGGUAGUUUGACUGGGGCGGUCUCCUCCUAAAGAGUAACGGAGGAGCACGAAGGUUGGCUAAUCCUGGUCGGACAUCAGGAGGUUAGUGCAAUGGCAUAAGCCAGCUUGACUGCGAGCGUGACGGCGCGAGCAGGUGCGAAAGCAGGUCAUAGUGAUCCGGUGGUUCUGAAUGGAAGGGCCAUCGCUCAACGGAUAAAAGGUACUCCGGGGAUAACAGGCUGAUACCGCCCAAGAGUUCAUAUCGACGGCGGUGUUUGGCACCUCGAUGUCGGCUCAUCACAUCCUGGGGCUGAAGUAGGUCCCAAGGGUAUGGCUGUUCGCCAUUUAAAGUGGUACGCGAGCUGGGUUUAGAACGUCGUGAGACAGUUCGGUCCCUAUCUGCCGUGGGCGCUGGAGAACUGAGGGGGGCUGCUCCUAGUACGAGAGGACCGGAGUGGACGCAUCACUGGUGUUCGGGUUGUCAUGCCAAUGGCACUGCCCGGUAGCUAAAUGCGGAAGAGAUAAGUGCUGAAAGCAUCUAAGCACGAAACUUGCCCCGAGAUGAGUUCUCCCUGACUCCUUGAGAGUCCUGAAGG
rnacentral:rRNA from 1 species